GAUCAUGGCUCAGGAUGAACGCUGGCGGCGUGCCUAAUACAUGCAAUCGAACGCUUGCUUGAGGACUUGUCUUCAAGCAGGAGUGGCGAACGGGUGAGUAAUACAUAAGCAAUCUGCCCAUCGGCCUGGGAUAACAGUUGGAAACGACUGCUAAUACCGGAUAGGUGAUGAAGAGGCAUCUCUCGAUCAUUAAAGUUGGGAUACAACACGGAUGG
rnacentral:rRNA from 1 species